rnacentral:rRNA from 1 species
UACGGGGGGGGCAAGCGUUGUCCGGAAUUAUUGGGCGUAAAGGGCUCGUAGGCGGUUUGUCGCGUCGGGAGUGAAAACACCGGGCUUAACUCGGUGCUUGCUUUCGAUACGGGCAGACUAGAGGCAUGCAGGGGAGAACGGAAUUCCUGGUGUAGCGGUGAAAUGCGCAGAUAUCAGGAGGAACACCGGUGGCGAAGGCGGAUCUCUGGGCCUUACCUGACGCUGAGGAGCGAAAGCAUGGGGAGCAAACAGG